rnacentral:rRNA from 1 species
GACUAUCGACGUGAGUGCUGUGAAUAAUCGAACAGUUUGCUGAUUCAUUCAGCCCUGCCACCCAAGUAAAAUAUGCCUUUCUGAGUUUCACGCCCUCUUCAGCGAUA